GAAGGAGAAGGACACACAAGAGCGGCUCAUUCAUAUCAAUGAACAGAUGGAUGAAGGAGAACUCUUGCAUCACCAUGUAGUAACUACAACCACGGUUCAUUCCCAGAUGGUUCGUUGAAGGAUGUCCAUGGAGAGAUCAGGAGAUGACUGUACACAAGC